UCAGCAUCUAGAGGAGACAGCCCAGUUCUGACUUCUUCUUACACCAAAACUAAGGGAUGCAAACAUGACACUUUUAAAUCCAGGAUAUCUUACAGAAACAGGAGCAAAAUAAUGUAAGGUAACGUGAAAUAAAACAACGUACAGAUCAGGAACAACACAUACACAAUCCACAGCCAGAUGCAGCCUACGGAAAAUAGCCUGACUAUGGAGUUAGAGAGAAAUUUGUCUUGUUCUAACUGCUCUGUGUGCUCAUAUGUCAGGACUGAGAAAAACACAUGCUCUGCCCAGCUGUUUGUUAGAAGCAAUGUCUGACUGUGAUGGAGCCUUCCAUUAAGAGUGUUUCUGAAAAUGUAUUACAAUCCCAUUGUUCUCCAUGUAAAAUCAAUACUUAAGCAUUCUUUCUCCCUUCUCUAGAGACAGUUUUUUUUUUCUGUUAAAGAAAAGCACCAGUGGGAAAUUAGUUGAUAGUGAUCUUAUUUUUGUAUGUUUAUUCUUCUCUAUCUGCAGCACAACAGAGAACAUGUAACGGCCAGCUUUGCUUUCCAGUAGCAGCCUGCUGAACCAUAUUUGCCAGACACAUGAGGCCUGGCCUGCAGGCUGAGUCCUGCACCCAGCGGGGCCGGGCAGUGAGCAGUCCAUGGGGUGGGCACUGUGCUGCUGAGGGAAGUGUCUGCACAGCUCUUCCCUUUCAAGUUACGCUUUCUUUGUGGACCCUAUUUCACCUUCACUGAAAGUUCAUCUGCUUGCAGAAAGUGAUCAGACUUCCGAACAUGAAGAUCUGGAGAGAUUUGAGCAGAACACUCAAACUGGCAAUCAGAGAUGUAGAAAUUCUUUCUUCUCAGUAAAAUCCCAUGGACGUUGCCUAAAAUCCUAUAAAACCUAUGAGGUGAGAAAUGAGACUUCUCUGGCUUCUUCUCCCUCUCUUGUAACCACACUGGACUGGAUGUACCAGAUCUGCCUCUGCUGGUUCUCAGGAGGAUCCCAGUUACCCCGACUCAGUCUCUUUUGUGCUAAUCCUGCAUGGUCCCUCUUUUUCUAUUUGACUACCUGACUCCACGUCCUGCGUGGAAAGAGCCUCGCUCUUGAGCACACCAUUCACCCUAUAGAAGAGAGCUGGGUUCAGCUUGCAGGGUUUGAUGCACACGGG
rnacentral:lncRNA from 1 species